AAUUUUACCACAACUAUUCUAAUAAGUAUAGCUAACAUUGUGGUUAAUCUACAAAAACAAAAAAUUGCUACGCUUUAGUCUAAGCCACAAAAUAUUUUUUCUGUCACGAAAUUUUUCAUUGACUAUUUUAAAAUAGCCACGAUUUUGCUACAAAUUUUUUUUCGUAACUAUACGAAACCCUAUAUACUCUAACAUGCUUUUAUACAAUAAGCUUUAAAUAUUAACGUUAAAACGCUAAUCUUUUCAUACUAUAACUUCGAAUAUUAAGCUUCAACUUAAAAUUUAAUCAUUUUAAUUCUAAAUCUCUAACACCAUACUCCAAAACCUAAACUCUAUACAUACACUUUUUACCCCACAUCAUAAAUCUAAACACUAAAUCUAGUAUUUUCAAAGUUAAACACUAAAUUUUAAACAUACACUUUGCAAAUUUUAUCUUUUCAAAAUUUU
rnacentral:lncRNA from 1 species